rnacentral:rRNA from 1 species
UACGGGGGGAGCAAGCGUUGUUCGGAUUUACUGGGCGUAAAGGGCGCGUAGGCGGCGCAACAAGUCACUUGUGAAAUCUCCGGGCUUAACCCGGAGCGGUCAAGUGAUACUGUCGUGCUAGAGUGCGGAAGGGGCUACUGGAAUUCUCGGUGUAGCGGUGAAAUGCGUAGAUAUCAAGAGGAACACCUGCGGCGAAGGCGGGUAGCUGGGCCGACACUGACGCUGAUGCGCGAAAGCCCAGGGGAGCGAACGGG